UGGAGAGCUUGAGUGCCCGGCCUGCCCACUGUUCAUACAGAUUCUCCCUGAUGGAGCCUAGCAUCGCAGUGACCACACAUCAUGCUAGCCGGCAGCUCAACUUGGCUCUGCAAGGAGAACGACGCCAGGUGGUUCUGACAAUGCGUCCAAGAGGAACUGAAUGUUUCACUGGAUGACAGCCGUGUGGUUGGCCUCAAGCUGGGGUUCGUUUGAGCCCAUGGCAGAAUCAGUCACAACCAAAAGGUCAGCAGGAGGCAACCAUGGAUGUCCUGCGGCUCAUCUCUCCGCUUGCU
rnacentral:lncRNA from 1 species